rnacentral:rRNA from 1 species
GAAUGCUGACAUAAGUAACGAUAAAGCGGGUGAAAAGCCCGCUCGCCGGAAGACCAAGGGUUCCUGUCCAACGUUAAUCGGGGCAGGGUGAGUCGACCCCUAAGGCGAGGCCGAAAGGCGUAGUCGAUGGGAAACAGGUUAAUAUUCCUGUACUUGGUGUUACUGCGAAGGGGGGACGGAGAAGGCUAUGUCGGCCGGGCGACGGUUGUCCCGGUUUAAGCGUGUAGGUGUGUGCUCCAGGCAAAUCCGGUGCACUUUAACACUGAGGCGUGAUGACGAGGCACUACGGUGCUGAAGUGACAGAUGCCCUGCUUCCAGGAAAAGCCUCUAAGCAUCAGGUAACACGAAAUCGUACCCCAAACCGACACAGGUGGUCAGGUAGAGAAUACCAAGGCGCUUGAGAGAACUCGGGUGAAGGAACUAGGCAAAAUGGUGCCGUAACUUCGGGAGAAGGCACGCUGAUAUGUAGGUGAAGUGAUUUACUCAUGGAGCUGAAAUCAGUCGAAGAUACCAGCUGGCUGCAACUGUUUAUUAAAAACACAGCACUGUGCAAACACGAAAGUGGACGUAUACGGUGUGACGCCUGCCCGGUGCCGGAAGGUUAAUUGAUGGGGUUAUCCCUCGGGAGAAGCUCUUGAUCGAAGCCCCGGUAAACGGCGGCCGUAACUAUAACGGUCCUAAGGUAGCGAAAUUCCUUGUCGGGUAAGUUCCGACCUGCACGAAUGGCGUAAUGAUGGCCAGGCUGUCUCCACCCGAGACUCAGUGAAAUUGAACUCGCUGUGAAGAUGCAGUGUACCCGCGGCAAGACGGAAAGACCCCGUGAACCUUUACUAUAGCUUGACACUGAACACUGGUCCUUGAUGUGUAGGAUAGGUGGGAGGCUUUGAAGUGUGGACGCCAGUCUGCAUGGAGCCGCCCUUGAAAUACCACCCUUUAAUGGCUGGUGUUCUAACGUGGGCCCGUAAUCCGGGUUGCGGACAGUGUCUGGUGGGUAGUUUGACUGGGGCGGUCUCCUCCUAAAGAGUAACGGAGGAGCACGAAGGUCAGCUAAUCCUGGUCGGACAUCAGGAGGUUAGUGCAAUGGCAUAAGCUGGCUUGACUGCGAGCGUGACGGCGCGAGCAGGUGCGAAAGCAGGUCAUAGUGAUCCGGUGGUUCUGAAUGGAAGGGCCAUCGCUCAACGGAUAAAAGGUACUCCGGGGAUAACAGGCUGAUACCGCCCAAGAGUUCAUAUCGACGGCGGUGUUUGGCACCUCGAUGUCGGCUCAUCACAUCCUGGGGCUGAAGUAGGUCCCAAGGGUAUGGCUGUUCGCCAUUUAAAGUGGUACGCGAGCUGGGUUUAGAACGUCGUGAGACAGUUCGGUCCCUAUCUGCCGUGGGCGCUGGAGAACUGAGGGGGGCUGCUCCUAGUACGAGAGGACCGGAGUGGACGCAUCACUGGUGUUCGGGUUGUCAUGCCAAUGGCACUGCCCGGUAGCUAAAUGCGGAAGAGAUAAGUGCUGAAAGCAUCUAAGCACGAAACUUGCCCCGAGAUGAGUUCUCCCUGACUCCUUGAGAGUCCUGAAGGAACGUUGAAGACGACGACGUUGAUAGGCCGGGUGUGUAAGCGCAGCGAUGCGUUGAGCUAACCGGUACUAAUGAACCGUGAG